rnacentral:SRP_RNA from 1 species
GCCGGGCGUGGUGGCACGUGCCUGUAGUCCCAGCUAAUUGGGAGGCUGAGGUGGGAGUAUUGUUUGAGCCCAGGAGUUCUGGGCUGUCGUGUGCUAUGCUGAUUGGGUGUCUGCACUAAGUUCCGCAGCAAUAUGGUGACCUCCUGGGAGCAGGGGACCACCAGGUUGCCUAAGAAGGUGUUGACCAGCCCAGGUCGGAAACAGAGCAGGUCAAAAAUCCCAUGCUGAUCAGUAGUGGGAUCGUGCCUGUGAAUAGCCACUGCACUCCAGCCUGGGCAACAUAGUGAGACCCUGUCUCU